AACUAACAAGGAUUCCCCUAGUAACGGCGAGUGAAGCGGGAAAAGCUCAAAUUUAAAAUCUGGCUGUCUUAGAUAGUCCGAGUUGUAAUCUGGAGAAGUGUUUUCUGCGCUGGACCGUGUACAAGUCUCUUGGAAUAGAGCGUCAUAGAGGGUGAGAAUCCCGUCUUUGACACGGACUGCCAGGGCUAUAUGAUACACUCUCGAAGAGUCGAGUUGUUUGGGAAUGCAGCUCAAAAUGGGUGGUAAAUUCCAUCUAAAGCUAAAUAUAGGCGAGAGACCGAUAGCGAACAAGUACCGUGAGGGAAAGAUGAAAAGCACUUUGGAAAGAGAGUUAAACAGUACGUGAAAUUGCUGAAAGGGAAACGCUUGAAGUCAGUCGCGUUAGUUGAGACUCAGCCUUGCUUUUGCUUGGUGCAUUUCUUAGCUGACGGGUCAACAUCAAUUUUGGCCGUUGGAAAAAGAUUGGGGGAAUGUGGCUCCUCCGGGAGUGUUAUAGCCCUUAGUUGUAUACAACGGCUGGGAUUGAGGACCGCAGUGCGCCUUUAUGGUCGGGGCUUGCCCUCGUUCGCACUUAGGAUGUUGGCAUAAUGGCUUUAAGCGACCCGUCUUGAAACACGGACCAAGGAGUCUAACAUGCAUGCGAGUGUUUGGGUGGAAAACUCGAGCGCGUAAUGAAAGUGAAAGUUGAGACCUCUGUCGUGGAGGGCAUCGACGCCCGGACCAGAUGUUUACUGACGGAUCUGCGGUUGAGCAUGUAUGUUGGGACCCGAAAGAUGGUGAACUAUGCCUGAAUAGGGCGAAGCCAGAGGAAACUCUGGUGGAGGCUCGUAGCGAUUCUGACGUGCAAAUCGAUCGUCAAAUUUGGGUAUAGGGGCGAAAGACUAAUCGAACCA
rnacentral:rRNA from 1 species